rnacentral:rRNA from 1 species
AGAGUUUGAUCCUGGCUCAGGACGAACGCUGGCGGCGCGCCUAACACAUGCAAGUCGAACGGAGCUUAGAGAGCUUGCUUUUUAAGCUUAGUGGCGAACGGGUGAGUAACGCGUGAGUAACCUGCCCUAGAGUGGGGGACAACAGUUGGAAACGACUGCUAAUACCGCAUAAGCCCACGGUACCGCAUGGUACUGAGGGAAAAGGAUUUAUUCGCUUUAGGAUGGACUCGCGUCCAAUUAGCUAGUUGGUGAGGUAACGGCCCACCAAGGCGACGAUUGGUAGCCGGACUGAGAGGUUGAACGGCCACAUUGGGACUGAGACACGGCCCAGACUCCUACGGGAGGCAGCAGUGGGGGAUAUUGCACAAUGGGGGAAACCCUGAUGCAGCGACGCCGCGUGGAGGAAGAAGGUCUUCGGAUUGUAAACUCCUGUUGUUGGGGAAGAUAAUGACGGUACCCAACAAGGAAGUGACGGCUAACUACGUGCCAGCAGCCGCGGUAAAACGUAGGUCACAAGCGUUGUCCGGAAUUACUGGGUGUAAAGGGAGCGCAGGCGGGAAGACAAGUUGGAAGUGAAAUCUAUGGGCUCAACCCAUAAACUGCUUUCAAAACUGUUUUUCUUGAGUAGUGCAGAGGUAGGCGGAAUUCCCGGUGUAGCGGUGGAAUGCGUAGAUAUCGGGAGGAACACCAGUGGCGAAGGCGGCCUACUGGGCACCAACUGACGCUGAGGCUCGAAAGUGUGGGUAGCAAACAGGAUUAGAUACCCUGGUAGUCCACACCGUAAACGAUGAUUACUAGGUGUUGGAGGAUUGACCCCUUCAGUGCCGCAGUUAACACAAUAAGUAAUCCACCUGGGGAGUACGACCGCAAGGUUGAAACUCAAAGGAAU